CACGUAAAAUGCAAGCGUUAAUCGGAAUUACUGGACGUAAAGCGUGCGCAGGCGGCUUUGCAAGACAGAUGUGAAAUCCCCGAGCUCAACCUGGGAACUGCAUUUGUGACUGCAAGGCUGGAGUACGGUAGAGGGGGAUGGAAUUCCGCGUGUAGCAGUGAAAUGCGUAGAUAUGCGGAGGAACACCGAUGGCGAAGGCAAUCCCCUGGACCUGUACUGACGCUCAUGCACGAAAGCGUGGGGAGCAAACAGG
rnacentral:rRNA from 1 species